AACAGAUCUGGAGUGUUCAUUCUGUAUUUUCCUUGGUUAUUUUAUGCACAGAGGAUACUGGCUCCACAGCAGAAAUCCAUGUGAGCAGGAUACACUGACACCCUCCUGCGACUAUGGAAUUUGACCUCUACCUGCAGUUCUAAUCAUUUCACUCUGAAAUCACAAUCUUCAAAAAAUCAAACAAAAUAAUUCAGGGAUUUGUAGGAAGCAAAAAUUGCAUUAAAAGUCGGAACAACAGGGGUUAUGGAAAUUUGUCAGGAACAGCCAAGAGGGAGGGGAAAAAAGACUAUCUAGUAACUAGUGGAUUUGUUGGGUUCCUCAUAUCAAAUAACAACAAGUGAAAUGUACAAGAAGAGAGGAGGAGUGGUUAGGAGCAUGCAGUGAUACAGCUGCUGGCUUGUUGCUGCCGUGCGAUCUGCACUUUGCUACGCGCCAUUGUGAAGAGGUAUAUAUAUUGUGAUAGAUGAAUGGGGACCUUGCCCCACUGGAAGACCUGGAGAAGCAGGGAGAGGAGCAAUUCCUACCCCGGGACGCAAGAUGGCAGCACUCCAGGAUUACAUGGGAACCACGGAGCUGGGAAGCUCAAACCUGUGGGAAUCUGUAGCUAUCACCAGGGGGUGCCUGGAUGUUUCCAGAGCCAUGGACUGCAGCACUUUCACCACACAAGGAAGUGCUACCGGAACAGAAACCAGGUCUGCAAGCAAAAGACUCUCCUGCUCAUUGCUCUUUCAAGAACUACACAGCAUAUGGACCAAGUUUACACUUUUCACUGAAAGAAAUUGAAAGGAAGACAAAGACCCAGGCUGAUGUAGCACCAUGAUGCCCCAGCACUGUUGGACUAAAAGCCAG